GACGAACGCUGGCGGCGUGCUUAACACAUGCAAGUCGAACGGAAAGGCCCUGCUUUUGUGGGGUGCUCGAGUGGCGAACGGGUGAGUAACACGUGAGUAACCUGCCCUUGACUUUGGGAUAACUUCAGGAAACUGGGGCUAAUACCGGAUAGGAGCUCCUGCUGCAUGGUGGGGGUUGGAAAGUUUCGGCGGUUGGGGAUGGACUCGCGGCUUAUCAGCUUGUUGGUGGGGUAGUGGCUUACCAAGGCUUUGACGGGUAGCCGGCCUGAGAGGGUGACCGGCCACAUUGGGACUGAGAUACGGCCCAGACUCCUACGGGAGGCAGCAGUGGGGAGUGUUGCACAAUGGGCGGAAGCCUGAUGCAGCAACGCCGCGUGCGGGAUGACGGCCUUCGGGUUGUAAACCGCUUUCGCCUGUGACGAAGCGUGAGUGACGGUAAUGGGUAAAGAAGCACCGGCUAACUACGUG
rnacentral:rRNA from 1 species